rnacentral:rRNA from 1 species
UGGGGAAUAUUGGACAAUGGGCGCAAGCCUGAUCCAGCCAUGCCGCGUGAGUGAUGAAGGCCUUAGGGUUGUAAAGCUCUUUUACCAGGGAUGAUAGUGACAGUACCUGGAGAAUAAGCUCCGGCUAACUCCGUGCCAGCAGCCGCGGUAAUACGGAGGGAGCUAGCGUUGUUCGGAAUUACUGGGCGUAAAGCGAGCGUAGGCGGCCAUUCAAGUCAGAGGUGAAAGCCCGGGGCUCAACUCCGGUACUGCCUUUGAAACUAGAUGGCUAGAAUCCAGGAGAGGUGGGUUGAAUUCCGAGUGUAGAGGUGAAAUGCGUAGAUAUUCGGAAGAACACCAGUGGCGAAGGCGACUCACUGGACUGGUAUUGACGCUGAGGUGCGAAAGCGUGGGGAGCAAACAGGAUUAGAUACCCCCGUAGUCC